rnacentral:rRNA from 1 species
AUUGAACGCUGGCGGCAGGCCUAACACAUGCAAGUCGAACGAGUGGCGGACGGGUGAGUAAUGUCUGGGAAACUGCCUGAUGGAGGGGGAUAACUACUGGAAACGGUAGCUAAGACCGCAUACCAUCAGAUGUGCCCAGAGGGGAUUAGCUAGUUGGUGGGGUAACGGCUCACCAAGGCGACGAUCCCUAGCUGGUCUGAGAGGAUGACCAGCCACCCUGGACCUGAGGCCCGGUCAAGACCCCGACGGUAGGCAGCAGUGGGGAAUAUUGCACAAUGGGCGCAAGCCUGAUGCAGCCAUGCCGCGUGUAUGAAGAAGGCCUUCGGGUUGUAAAGGACUUUCAGCGGGUAGGCGUUACCCGCAGAAGAAGCACCGGCUAACUCCGUGCCAGCCGCCGCUGUAAUUC